UUGCUGUCUACUGUGGCAUGUGAACAAAGGGCUCGUCUGCUGUCCUGAGGGAUUUAGUCGAUUUGAUUCCACCAGUACCUGCUGCCUUAUGAAUUGCUCAGAAAUACAGUCAGUUUAAAGUGUGCGCAUACAGGAGAGUGGUUGCUGGGAACAGCUUGUAGCGUGCCGGGCCCGGGUGGCUUGGCCGGGUGCUACCUCAGGAUCCUCGGUUUCCCAGUUUGUGAGUAUUGCAUCUACACAUUCCCCUGGAAUCCAGCACCAGGUACUGAUAAAUUACCAUGUAGGCUUUUGCAAGGGUUUGAGCUUAUUGCACUCAGUCCUGUUAGUACCUUUUAAAACUUACUCCUAAAACAUUGUUAGAAUCACAAAGAACUUUGAUGUAUUUUUAAAAGAGCUUAUUGGUUUCACUUUAAAGUGAUUUGAAGUGAUCAUUGGAACCAUUAACAAUCCUGUGGACUGGAUUUAAACUGCAUUUAAAUUAAUUUGCGUAGUAGACAAUAUUUUUCAAGUUUUCUGUAGUAGAAUAUAAAUUCUCUUGACUUGUGCAACUUUUAAAUGCAAAGCAUAAAAUUUUCUAGCAUGUUUCUGGGAGGUAGGCAGUCCUUCUCAUGAAAGCUAUGAGGUUUUGAAACUAUUCUAGGAAGACAAUGUUGAAAAUCCUUUCAUGGUGGAGUUCAGCCAGCAUAUUACAAGAAGGAGUAUGACAUAGUUAAGUAUAAAACAGGCAACAGAACACCUACUUCCCAAACACUGCAUUUCUAAUGAAAUACACUAUUUCUUGAUAAUUUCUCC
rnacentral:lncRNA from 1 species